GAUGAACGCUGGCGGCGUGCCUAAUACAUGCAAGUCGAGCGAACAGACGAGGAGCUUGCUCCUCUGACGUUAGCGGCGGACGGGUGAGUAACACGUGGAUAACCUACCUAUAAGACUGGGAUAACUUCGGGAAACCGGAGCUAAUACCGGAUAAUAUAUUGAACCGCAUGGUUCAAUAGUGAAAGACGGUUUUGCUGUCACUUAUAGAUGGAUCCGCGCCGCAUUAGCUAGUUGGUAAGGUAACGGCUUACCAAGGCAACGAUGCGUAGCCGACCUGAGAGGGUGAUCGGCCACACUGGAACGGAGACACGGUCCAGACUCCUACGGGAGGCAGCAGUAGGGAAUAUUCCGCAAUGGGCGAAAGCAUGACGGAGCAACGCCGCGUGAGUGAUGAAGGUCUUCGGAUCGUAAAACUCUGUUAUUAGGGAAGAACAAAUGUGUAAGUAAAUAUGCACGUCUUGACGGUACCUAAUCAGAAAGCCACGGCUAACUACGUG
rnacentral:rRNA from 1 species